AGCGAACGCUGGCGGCAGGCCUAACACAUGCAAGUCGAACGGACUCUUCGGAGUUAGUGGCGGACGGGUGAGUAACACGUGGGAACGUGCCUUUAGGUUCGGAAUAAGCCCGGGAAACUGGGUCUAAUACCGAAUGUGCCCUUCGGGGGAAAGAUUUAUCGCCUUUAGAGCGGCCCGCGUCUGAUUAGCUAGUUGGUAGUGUAAUGGACUACCAAGGCUACGAUCAGUGGCUGGUCUGAGAGGAUGACCAGCCACAUUGGGACUGAGACACGGCCCAAACUCCUACGGGAGGCAGCAGUGGGGAAUCUUGCGCAAUGGGCGAAAGCCUGACGCAGCCAUGCCGCGUGAAUGAUGAAGGUCUUAGGAUUGUAAAAUUCUUUCACCGGGGACGAUAAUGACGGUACCCGGAGAAGAAGCCCCGGCUAACUUCGUGCCAGCAGCCGCGGUAAUACGAAGGGGGCUAGCGUUGCUCGGAAUUACUGGGCGUAAAGGGCGCGUAGGCGGACAUUUAAGUCAGGGGUGAAAUCCCAGAGCUCAACUCUGGAACUGCCUUUGAUACUGGGUGUCUUGAGUGUGAGAGAGGUAUGUGGAACUCCGAGUGUAGAGGUGAAAUUCGUAGAUAUUCGGAAGAACACCAGUGGCGAAGGCGACAUACUGGCUCAUUACUGACGCUGAGGCGCGAAAGCGUGGGGAGCAAACAGGAUUAGAUACCCUGGUAGUCCACGCCGUAAACGAU
rnacentral:rRNA from 1 species